CAGCAGCCGCGGAACACCGGCGGCCCGAGUGGUGAUCGUGAUUAUUGGGUCUAAAGGGUCCGUAGCCGGUUUGGUCAGUCCUCCGGGAAAUCUGAUAGCUCAACUAUUAGGCUUUCGGGGGAUACUGCCAGACUUGGAACCGGGAGAGGUAAGAGGUACUACAGGGGUAGGAGUGAAAUCUUGUAAUCCCUGUGGGACCACCUGUGGCGAAGGCGUCUUACCAGAACGGGUUCGACGGUGAGGGACGAAAGCUGGGGGCACGAACCGGAUUAGAUACCCGGGUAGUCCCAGCCGUAAACGAUGCUCGCUAGGUGUCAGGCAUGGCGCGACCGUGUCUGGUGCCGCAGGGAAGCCGUGAAGCGAGCCACCUGGGAAGUACGGCCGCAAGGCUGAAACUUAAAGGAAUUGGCGGGGGAGCACAACAACGGGUGGAGCCCUGCGGUUUAAUUGGACUCAACGCCGGACAACUCACCGGGGGCGACAGCAAUAUGUAGGCCAAGCUGAAGACUUUGCCUGAAUCGCUGAGAAGAGGUGCAUGG
rnacentral:rRNA from 1 species